rnacentral:rRNA from 1 species
UCCGAAGGGGGCUAUCGUUGUUCGGAAUUACUGGGCGUAAAGCGCGUGUAGGCGGGCCGUUAAGUCGGGGGUGAAAGCCCAGAGCUCAACUCUGGAAUUGCCUUCGAUACUGGCGGCCUGGAGCAUGAUAGAGGCGAGUGGAAUUGCGAGUGUAGAGGUGAAAUUCGUAGAUAUUCGCAGGAACACCAGUGGCGAAGGCGACUCGCUGGAUCAUUGCUGACGCUGAGACGCGAAAGCGUGGGGAGCAAACAGG